GGUUGUGUAGUGUAGUGGUUAUCACUCUGGAUUUUGAUGAUAUCUCUCAAUCAAACUUUCCAGUAACCCCGGUUCGAACCCGGGCACGACCU